AGUGAACGCUGGCGGCAGGCCUAACACAUGCAAGUCGAGCGGCAGCGGGUUCCCGCGAGGGGAUGCCGGCGAGCGGCGGACGGGUGAGGAACACAUCGGAAUCUGCCUGGUUAGUGGGGGAUAACGUAGGGAAACUUACGCUAAUACCGCAUGCGACCCUGAGUCGACGGACUUGGGGUGAAAGUGAGGGACCUUCGGGCCUCACGCGACCAGAUGAGCCGAUGUCGG
rnacentral:rRNA from 1 species